GGGGGGGGCUGGCGUGUGAAGGAGGAAGGAGCUCGGAAUAGGAUGCUGCGCAAGAGAUGGGUAGUGCGUAAUCCUUGUUGUGGGAGAGGACGCGGUGUUGCGCAGUUGGUAUUGGCACGGCCGCUUAACACUUCAUGUCCUCGUGCUCUCUCUCUUUUCUUUUUUUUUUAUGGCGUUAUCGAAUGUCACCGCCUGAUUUUUUUCUACAAACACAAUAACACCGGACGGACUUUCUUCUCACUGACGCGCAGGCAGAAGAAGAGGUUCUCUGCUGUGGCGUUUGCGUAAUUCCCGGCAGGAAACAUGACGCGUCACAAGCGAGCGGCACAACGGUGACGCAGCUUGUUUGGUUUGCUCCAUGUGUUCCAACAACAGUCGCUGCGUCACAGAGAAACCCGGGAGGACCAUUCAUAGUAAUCAGGCUCCUCUUCGUGCGCACUUGAGAAGAUGAAAACAAGCCUUGCUGCCCCGGACAGCAGGGGGCGCUGCCGAGCAACACAAAUCCCUCUGGCGUCACCUAUCUGCUGAGGGACGUUGACGUACAGGUAUUUUUCUCAUCUCUACCUGAAAACAGCUUCUGUACCUUUCCCUUUUUUUCUUUAUCUCUGGGGCUCUGUUUUCUAAUCAUACCAAUGGCACAAACUGUGAUUCUAUAACUCCAAACUUAAUCAUAAUUAUAGAAUUUCCAUAACUUGGCUGUAUUUGUUUGUUCCUCAGAGUUUUGUUCUUUUGCCGUUUAGCAGAUUUGCCUCCACCUGCGUCGGAGCCUGCAAUGGACGCCAGCCAGAGCUCAGCAGGACACGGACACGCCUGAUGUGAUGACACAAGUUGCUGUUGACUCAGAGGCCGCGGGCCUCUUGCACCUUCCUAAUGACCCCUGUGGAGAGAGCAAAAAGGGCGUGUUGCCUUCCUACCUCCGCUUACCUGCCAGAGGGACAGGAGAUGAAGUGCUUUACUCGCCCUCGUAGAGCUUCUGAGGGAGGGGCGCUGCCUCUCGAGUCAAACAAACAGCCGAGCACAGCAGCACAAGAGGCCCCAAAUGAGCUGCUUUCAACUCAGUUUCAUUCAGAGUUCUCGGAGGAAUGUCUCAAUAAUGAGGCAGCCAAAUGCAAUUCCGCCGAGGAUGUUCGGCCAAAAGCCAGAUGCAGCCAGAGAUCACUUCUAAAAGUCAGCGGAGAGUUGACGUGGAUGUUUCUGGGGCCGGCAUCACCUGUAGACCUCUUGAACCGUCCGAGGGAAAAUGUCUGAACGACCCACUGCCUUCUAAAACAGAUCCCUCCUACGCACAGAUUAAAGGAAAGGAGGUGGCCCCGAGCUGAGAGAUGACAGUGCUAAAAUUAAACUCGGAGCGCCGCUGGCCUCGCUAGAUGAUGAUGUAUUAUUAGACAAGUGUGAGGCAGCACUCAUUCGCAGGUAUCAUUAGCAACCGGAAAACUAAUGGGCUGCAAAAUAAGGGGAGGGGGUACUGUAAGCUACUUUGCUGAAACACUUCUUACUGCCAUGAUUAAUCACCUCAAUUGGACUUCUGUAAAGAUUUCUGGAACAUGGACAAUCCUAAGGAGGAGGAGGAAAUAGUGACGCAGCUGGUGUUUCUUUGCAACAUUUGCUGAUAAUCAUUUGGGGAUGCCGGCCAGAUUUCCUCCCUCUCUUCCUGAAGACCUGAUAUGUUUUCACAAAGACACCCAGUAUCCCCGUAGCUAUUUCAAACGGGUAUCUGUACUUUUAUCUGUGGCCAUUCAGCUCAUAGAGUCGCUCCUGUUAUCAGCAGCUCCUCUGAUAUUUCCCAACAACACGAGUCGGAGCCAGAACAGAGUGACAAAGUGUAAUUCGCCUCUUCUAUUUUCAUCCGGCGUGCUGCAGACAGAACAAACAAAGUGUCAGGCUCAUCUGAACGUGUUAAGGAUCCGAAUAUUUACCAGUUUGCUGCACGGAAGAGAAGCUGAGGCAUCUUGGAAGGAGUUAACCAAGCUAUUAAAUGAUCCACAGAGUUUAUGUGUGGUUGAGCAAAUUGAGCAGGAAACUAGGCUCAUGCCACUUUUGGCUUUGAUUCGUUCUGAAAAGUAUCAUGUGAUUCCUGUAAACACAUAAUAGUGACACUUUAAUAGCAAGUUUAACUGUGGUCUUAUAGUCACAAAGCCACAUUUAUAAACAUAUCUGAGCUUGUUCUUUAUAUGUGUUAAUAGAGUAAAGAUAAUAAACUUGUA